GGAGCCAAACAGAGAGGAAACAGGACAAGAAGGACACACAGGUCCAGAAGAGUGCCACAGAAAUGACCCAAGGGAUGGAACACCUCCCUACAAGGACAAGCUGAGAGAGCUGGGGCUGUUCAGUCUGGAGAAGAGAAGGCUCUGAGGAGACCUAAGGGCAACCUGUCAGUAUCUAAAGGGGGUUUGUUUAGAAACCAGAUGCAGAGGAGCACGGCGUCGCCACACAUGGCAGGGCAACAGCAUCCUGCUCCUUAGUGCUGCAAUGGGGAGCAACCUCGCACAGCCCGUGUCAGCACACCAGUGAGCUGAGGUUCUUAGUAAGACAUCCCAGGACCAUAUCUUUAAUGGAGAAUUAGCCUUCCUGUAGUCUCUGCCUACCUCAGAACACCAAUGCUGCAAGCUGGGAACUGACAGCUGGAUCUGCAGGACACCAACUGCAUCUCUCUGCUCCUGAGACUUGGGGAGAGCCUUCAGGGCUGUGAUAAAGUAGAUGCAACUGAGGUGACCACCUGAUCUUUAAUCUUCUUGGUGAGUAAUUACCAAACUCAGAACAUCUGCACCAUGCAGGCACCAGUGGCUUUUUGCUGUAACAUCCCUUGGGAUGAGAGAUGAUGGCAUUGAGUUGAGGUCUAUGAGCCUUCCUGAACCAACAGUUUCCUUCAGCGUGACUCUGGGGUAAUGAAGAAACAGAAGUUUUGCAUCAGCAGGCUCCUGCAGUGUUUGUCCCAUCUGCAAGCCCAGGCUCCUCCUGUCAUGUCUGGGAUGGCUGCAUCUUUGAAGAGUGGGACCACAAUCAGCCACGAUUCUCAUGUUGGGAUGCUCACAUUCAAGGUGAAGCUGAGGCCUGCAGGAAAUGGUAAUAAUGUGAGAUUCCAGCUGGAAGAAGCUUUCUUGCAGGUGAGUCUGGCAAGAGGCUCAGCGAGCAGCUGGAAGGAGACCAAGAGGAAAAGCAGAAGUGGGCAGGCUCCUGGAAGGCUGGGAAAGGUGGGCAUGUCACAUCACUCGCUAAGAGAGCCCCAGAGUGCUCUGAGAGUUGUGAAAAAAGACAGAGACAGUUUUAGUCCAAAAUGUGUUCUAAAAAACAGCUAAUAUCAACUAGUUUUCAGCUGGUUCUGUCUGAGAAAAGAAAAAUUUAGAAGCCUAACUAAUCCAUAGCACUAAGAUUCUUACCUAACCUUUAAUUUCUUAAAAAUAACAGCAGGAAAUUAAUGGGAAAAUGUUAUUUUGCUGGUCAGAUAGAAGCAGAAGCAAGUAAAUUUUCUGCUGUGCUUGACUUCAGUGUUGGUUCAUCCAGUGCCACAGCCUCUGAGAAAGGAACUGAAAAAGAAUCUGACUACUUAGAAUCACAAUAGUGUUGAUGGACAUGUUCAUCUGUCAUAUUAAGGCUCCUCAUCAUCCCACAUUCAAUUCUUGGCCAGAUCCAGCAAAGGACAGAGGCAUCUGUGAGAAGAAUUUCAAUAGAAUUCCAGAGAAUUACAAUGGAAUUACACAACAGCACGGAAAAUUUAUUUCUUGUUGACAUGAAGAGUCUGUUUUUUGUUUUCCCACACUGCUGGAGGAUGGUAGCAGAAACAUUAAUGGAUGUGGAUCAGCAACAUCGCUCACAGACUGGGAGAGGAGGAAGAAUAUCCUGCCCUUUACCACUGAAGCUUAAUACCAACUUACAGACCAAUCCAUGGCAUUCAUAUUCCUGUCAGCAGAUGUGGAUUUUCCAGCAGCAAAUAAGCCACUAAUGGUACAAAGUCUUUCUCAACAUGGUGUAACACUUGACCAACCCAGGCCAAAAAAUGAAGUCAACUCAUGCAUGUUACUGUAUCACAUCAGGCCAAAGAGCUUUGUCCUUCUGUCACCUAGCAAGGACUGUGUAUGGGGGACUCUUGUGUGUAUGUGUUACAAACCACUGUUGGUCACAUUAACAGAAUAAGAAACCAGAAACAUAAUGGAGGUCAAGUAUGAAGUGUUGUGAGCCUCCAAAUGUAGAGGUCAGGCAUACAAUGAAAACAACAAAACAAAAUUGUAAUGCUAGUUGCAAGCUGCGUGGAUAAUCAAUACCAGAAUGUGAUUCCUUUUAAUCAGGGGUUAUUUUAGAUGGCAUCAGAGGGGGAAAAAAAAAUUAAGUCUAAAUUUGCUAAUUGGGAAGUUGAAAUCCAUGGCUGACAGCAGGCUCCCAGGAAAGAAGUAGGUUGCAUGCAGUAAGAGUAGUGUUCAGCAACAAGGUCACAGCAGUUAGAUCACCAGUGAGAUAGAAGUCCACACUAAGGUAAUUCUUGUGAAUUCUUUUAUAUGCUCGAAGCAGAACAAGGAUAUUGAAGUGUCCUAUCUGGAGGAUUCUCUCCAUGGCACAGCACUCAUAAAUGAAAGCUCUCUGAUCUCAGCCUCUGAAUUGAACCAACAGCUAUCCUAGGCCUAGUAAGAUGGAAAGGCAGCUAUUUCCCAGAACUUGAAUGAUAUCCCCCUCAAAAAGUAUUUGAGCAACUGUUCUUUUGCAUUAAACUGUCCUCAGCUGAGGUGAGGUGGGUUAUUGUCAUAGUAGUGUGUGUGUGUGUGUGUGUGUAUUUUUUUACCUAAGUUUUUUGAUGUCUCUGAGUUGCCUCUUGCCUCAGCACAUCCUUUGCAGCAGGCAGGGUGCUGGGUGAGCCAUUGGGCUGCAGUGUUCAGUCAUGCUGUUUUUCUCUACUCGCUGUGGAUGCUGUCAGUUGGCACGUGGAGGCUCUCUGUUGAUGAAUGAGUGCUGUGAAGCAGAUGGGAUGGAAACAGAGAUGUUAUUGACAUUCAGUCAGACCCCAGUGAGCAGCUUUUUGGCACCAAUGGGCUGAGACAUGCCCACUUUUUAAAAGCUGGUCUUUUUUCAUUGACAUGACCCCGUGUGACAGCUCCCUCUCCUGAGAUUUCUUCUGAUUUGAUUUAUGGAGUCUGAAUUCCAGCUGCAUGCUACUUGGGGCACAGACCGAUGUGAUGCUCCAUGUGAGGUGCCCAGACAAAACAACAGCUUUAAAAUGUCAUCCAGCAGCCCCAGAAAGACUUGUCAGAGCUGGAGGGGACAGAUUCAUUGCUUGCAGGCAAAGGGAAAUGAGGAAAUGCAGGAGUUGUGCUGUAGGAAAAUCUCCCCCUAAACUGCUUUCUCCCAUGUACGAUUGCCUAUGCUGAGCCUAUUCAAGGAGUCUUUGGGAAAUACCUAAGAGGAUUUUUCCUUUCAGAUUAAGUGAUUUCUGGAUGAUUUUACCCACAGCACAUCAGCAGGGGGUGAGUUUAGCUGCACUUUGCCUGCACCAGUGAAAGAGAGGCUCAUUCUUUUGAAAAUCAUCCACUAAAUUAAUGAAGAUGUGAAUGUACAUUAGGCUGAACGUAUUUAGCUUAUUAAAGGCUCCUCUCUCAGAUCAUUUCCUUCUGUGUGUCUUUACAUCGCAGGCUCUUCUGUUUGUAAUUUCCAAAGUUAGGGAGGAAAAAAAAAAAGAUUGUAUUUUUUAAGAGGUUAUUCUCAGCUUUCAGCAGUCAGAAACUGUAUGUACAGUAGUCAGCCUGAAAUCCCAUAGGAAGAUGGAAGACCUCGCUGUGCUCAGUUAAUGCAGUAAUGAUGACUGUUGCUCUCUGCUCAAACAUAACUUGAGGUGAGUGCCACGAUUAACAAGGAGUAAGAACCUAAAUGAAAUGUCAAUUUCUGUUUUGUUGUGUUGAAUGAAUUACCAGGACCUUCAUGAUCUGAAACUUUGGCUAGGAUCAUUCUGCUCUCCUGGGGAAAAUAAAAUGUUUGGUCAGUGCCAGUUCCUUUGACUCCCAUUGUUUUCACUGGCUUUGGGAACAGAUCCUUAUUUUUGCUUUAAUUCUCUUUUUCACCCUUAUAGCUAAUGAAUAGAGUGAUGCAAGAAAUCUGCAAGGCAGUAUUGAAGGGAUGCUGCACUGAAGGAAAACAAGGAAGCUACUAAGAUUACAAGAAACUCAUUUUUUGAGGAUGGAAUGGGAAAAUAUUCUAUGAGAAUGUUGUCUUUGUGAAAGCUAAUUUGAGUGAGCUGGGUAUGGGAAGCUGAGGGUGGGGAGGUAGCGUGGGCCAUGAGUGCUCUUUUUCUUCACCUAUCUAUAGAUACUCACCUUUUCUGCUGCUACAGGGCUGAGAUUCCCAAGUACUUUCAUCAAGAUUUUGUACUGCUCAAACCUAUUGCUCUGGUCAGAAAGACAACGGCUUCUCCACUGCAGAGCCCAGAACUCCACUUAAGAUAUCAUGAUAUAUCGUUUAUGAAUCUGUAGAUAGCCCAGGAAUUAGGCCCCUUCCAACUGUUCCCAUUGAUGUGGUGAGAAAGUAUGACGUUCUUUUGCAUUCCUUAAGCACCUGCUGUACAUUUGUUGAGUAGAAUUAAAAAAGAACUCUCCAGGUCUAUAAAUGAUGGUGGGUGUCAAACAGCCUUGCUAGCACCCUGACUACCUGCAGUGUGGAGAAGUGGGAGCCUUCCUAAUUCUGCUCCCAGCUCCUUGCCUGCAGCAGCCCAUAUGGAACAGGAGAGCCAGGAGCUGGGCGCCUACUGCAGCUGCAGAGAAAGGCCUUUGCCUGCUCUGGAUGUCAUCUACAG
ensembl:lncRNA